GACGAACGUUGGCGGCGUGCUUAAUACAUGCAAGUCAACUGAAGCAGUGGUAGCAAUCUCGCUGUGGAGGUGGCGCACGGGUGAGUAACACGUAGGUAAUCUGCCUUCAGGUCUGGCAUAACUCCGGGAAACCGGGGCUAAUAGCAGAUGAUGCAGCGGCUCGACAUCGAGACAGUUGUUAAAGCUAUGGCGCCUGAAGAUGAGCCUGCGUCUGAUUAGCUAGUUGGCGGGGUAACGGCCCACCAAGGCAACGAUCAGUAGCUGGUCUGAGAGGAUGAUCAGCCACACUGGAACUGAGACACGGUCCAGACUCCUACGGGAGGCAGCAGUAAGGAAUAUUGCUCAAUGGGAGAAAUCCUGAAGCAGCAACGCCGCGUGAGGGACGAAGGGCUUUUGCUUGUAAACCUCUGUAGUGAGAGAAGAAAAUCCCAAUCUUUGGGACAUGAUGGUAUCUCAAAAGUAAGCCCCGGCUAACUACGUG
rnacentral:rRNA from 1 species